CAUACCGAAAGGUAUGCUAAUACGGGAUAAUAUAUUUGAGAGGCAUCUCUUGAAUAUCAAAGGUGAGCCAGUACAGGAUGGACCCGCGUCUGAUUAGCUAGUUGGUAAGGUAACGGCUUACCAAGGCGACGAUCAGUAGCCGACCUGAGAGGGUGAUCGGCCACAUUGGAACUGAGACACGGUCCAAACUCCUACGGGAGGCAGCAGUGGGGAAUAUUGCACAAUGGGCGAAAGCCUGAUGCAGCAACGCCGCGGGAGUGAUGAAGGCCUUCGGGUCGUAAAACUCUGUCCUCAAGGAAGAUAAUGACGGUACUUGAGGAGGAAGCCCCGGCUAACUACGUGCCAGCAGCCGCGGUAAUACGUAGGGGGCUAGCGUUAUCCGGAUUUACUGGGCGUAAAGGGUGCGUAGGCGGUCUUUCAAGUCAGGAGUGAAAGGCUACGG
rnacentral:rRNA from 1 species